CUAGUGGCGCACGGGUGCGUAACGCGUGGGAAUCUGCCCUUAGGUACGGAAUAACUCAGAGAAAUUUGUGCUAAUACCGUAUGAUGUCGAAAGACCAAAGAUUUAUCGCCUAAGGAUGAGCCCGCGUAAGAUUAGCUUGUUGGUGAGGUAAAAGCUCACCAAGGCGACGAUCUUUAGCUGGUCUGAGAGGAUGAUCAGCCACACUGGGACUGAGACACGGCCCAGACUCCUACGGGAGGCAGCAGUGGGGAAUAUUGGACAAUGGGCGAAAGCCUGAUCCAGCAAUGCCGCGUGAGUGAUGAAGGCCUUAGGGUUGUAAAGCUCUUUUACCAGGGAUGAUAAUGACAGUACCUGGAGAAUAAGCUCCGGCUAACUCCGUGCCAGCAGCCGCGGUAAUACGGAGGGAGCUAGCGUUGUUCGGAAUUACUGGGCGUAAAGAGUACGUAGGCGGUGAUUCAAGUCAGAGGUGAAAGCCUGGAGCUCAACUCCAGAACUGCCUUUGAAACUAGAUCGCUAGAAUUAUGGAGAGGUUAGUGGAAUUCCGAGUGUAGAGGUGAAAUUCGUAGAUAUUCGGAAGAACACCAGUGGCGAAGGCGACUAACUGGACAUAUAUUGACGCUGAGGUACGAAAGCGUGGGGAGCAAACAGAAUUAGAUACCCUGGUAGUCCACGCCGUAAACGAUGAUAACUAGCUGUUCGG
rnacentral:rRNA from 1 species